CAACAGCUAGAGUUUGAUCCUGGCUCAGGAUGAACGCUGGCGGCGUGCCUAACACAUGCAAGUCGAACGGAACCUUUUACGAACGAGGCUUCGGCCAAGUUUGUUUCUGGUUUAGUGGCGGACGGGUGAGUAACGCGUGAGCAACCUGCCUUUCAGAGGGGGAUAACGUUUGGAAACGAACGCUAAUACCGCAUAACGUAGGGAUAUCGCAUGGUAAUCCUACCAAAGAUUUUAUCGCUGAAAGAUGGGCUCGCGUCCGAUUAGGUAGUUGGUGAGGUAACGGCCCACCAAGCCGACGAUCGGUAGCCGGACUGAGAGGUUGAACGGCCACAUUGGGACUGAGACACGGCCCAGACUCCUACGGGAGGCAGCAGUGGGGAAUAUUGCACAAUGGGCGCAAGCCUGAUGCAGCAACGCCGCGUGAGGGAAGACGGUUUUCGGAUUGUAAACCUCUGUCUUUGGUGACGAAGAAGUGACGGUAGCCAAGGAGGAAGCCACGGCUAACUACGUGCC
rnacentral:rRNA from 1 species